UACGUAGGGUGCAAGCGUUGUCCGGAAUUAUUGGGCGUAAAGAGCUCGUAGGCGGUGUGUCGCGUCGGCCGUGAAAACCUGCAGCUUAACUGUGGGCUUGCGGUCGAUACGGGCAUCACUGGAGUUCGGCAGGGGAGACUGGAAUUCCUGGUGUAGCGGUGAAAUGCGCAGAUAUCAGGAGGAACACCGGUGGCGAAGGCGGGUCUCUGGGCCGUAACUGACGCUGAGGUGCGAAAGCGUGGGGAGCAAACAGGAUUAGAACCUUCGAG
rnacentral:rRNA from 1 species